CACAUCGACGGGGAGGUUUGGCACCUCGAUGUCGGCUCAUCGCAUCCUGGGGCUGGAGCAGGUCCCAAGGGUAUGGCUGUUCGCCAUUUAAAGAGGUACGUGAGCUGGGUUCAAAACGUCGUGAGACAGUUUGGUCCCUAUCUGCUGUGGGCGUUGGAAGUUUGAGGGAGCCUGUUCCUAGUACGAGAGGACCGGAAUGGACACACCUCUGGUGUUUCGGUUGUGACGCCAGUCGCAUUGCCGAGUAGCUAUGUGUGGAAAGGAUAACCGCUGAAAGCAUCUAAGCGGG
rnacentral:rRNA from 1 species